ACAUGAAGCUUCAGGAGUUUUCUGUGGAGGAGCAGAACGUGCUGAAAAUUCUCACCCAAGUGAAUGUCGUCCGACGGGAAUGUGAGAUCAGACUGGAGGCAACUGAUUUUGAUGAGAAGAAGGAAAUAAAUAAGCGGAAGCAGAUGAUCCUGGAAGGAAAGGACCCCGAUCUGGAGAUGCAACGGAAGGCCGAGCUGGCUAAGAUUAAGAAGAAGAAGCUCAAGUUCCAGAGCCAAGUCCACCAGACCCUGCAAGAGAGACGGCAGAAGCAGCUUCAGCACAGGCUGAAAAAACGGGCACGGCGGCAGAAGCCGAAGCCGGCGGGGGCAGCAAACUGAGGCCGCUCGUCCUCCCGCCUUGGUGGCAAAGGACCCUCGUGGGGAACAAUCCGCACCUGAGCUGCCUCUGCCCCAAAUUUGCCUCGCGCAAAACUUUGUUAACUUUGGCCCUUCUGCGAAUGGACCUGAAGCAUCGGGUGCAAAAGUCUCCGGAAAAGAACAUUAGGCAAGUUGGAGAAGUUGCUUGGCUGCCUAGAGACCGAGGAAUGUCUCUUUUCGAGGCCGUCUCUUUUCCAAAAAACGAGACUUUCAGUUGGGCUGAACCCUUGGGAGACAAAAGUUUUCAAGUCUCACCAGGCAGUUGCGCCACCGAGUAAAGGUUGGUGAUUUAGGGGUGGAUCCUUUCGAUGGGAGCAGGCUCUGUUUUGGGGGGGUCACCCAAGAAUCUCAUGGCCAUGCCAGGCAUACGCUGGCUAGUAAACCGUGUGCUUUCAAUAAAUCCCUCUCUAUGAUGAAGGGGAAAGACGAGGC